ACUCCUACGGGAGGCAGCAGUGGGGGAAUAUUGCACAAUGGGCGCAAGCCUGAUGCAGCCAUGCCGCGUGUAUGAAGAAGGCCUUCGGGUUGUAAAGUACUUUCAGCAGUGAGGAAGGUGGGUAUGUUAAUAGCAUACUCAUUUGACGUUAGCUGCAGAAGAAGCACCGGCUAACUCCGUGCCAGCAGCCGCGGUAAUACGGAGGGUGCGAGCGUUAAUCGGAAUUACUGGGCGUAAAGCGCAUGCAGGUGGUUUGUUAAGUCAGAUGUGAAAGCCCGGGGCUCAACCUCGGAAUUGCAUUUGAAACUGGCAAACUAGAGUACUGUAGAGGGGGGUAGAAAUUUCAGGUGUAGCGGUGAAAUGCGUAGAGAUCUGAAGGAAUACCGGUGCGAAGCGGCCCCCUGGACAGAUACUAGACACUACAGAUGCGAAAGCGUGGGGAGCAAAACAGGAUUAGAUACCCUGGUAAGGCUCUGC
rnacentral:rRNA from 1 species